rnacentral:rRNA from 1 species
CCUACGGGUGGCAGCAGUGAGGAAUAUUGGGCAAUGGACGCAAGUCUGAACCAGCCAUGCCGCGUGAAGGAAGACGGCCCUAUGAGUUGUAAACUGCUUUUGUACGAGGGUAAAGGCAGAUACGUGUACUGUUCUGUAAGUAUCGUACGAAUAAGGCUCGGCUAACUCCGUGCCAUCAGCCGCGGUAAUACGGAGGCUUCGAGCGUUAUCCUGAUUUAUUGGGUUUAAAGGGUGCGUAGGCGGUCGGUUAAGUCAGUUGUGAAAGUCAGCGGCUCAACUUUGGAAUUGCAUCUGAUACUGUGCGGCUUGAGAGUAGCAGAGGUAGGCGGAAUGUGUGGUGUAGCGGUGAAAUGCUUAGAUAUCAUGAAGAACACCGAUUGCGAAGGCAGCUUACUGGGCUAUAACUGACGCUGAGGCACGAAAGCGUGGGUAGCAAACAGGAUUAGAUACCCCUGUAGUC